rnacentral:rRNA from 1 species
AGUGAACGCUGGCGGUAGGCCUAACACAUGCAAGUCGAACGGCAGCACAGUAAGAGCUUGCUCUUACGGGUGGCGAGUGGCGGACGGGUGAGGAAUACAUCGGAAUCUACUUUUUCGUGGGGGAUAACGUAGGGAAACUUACGCUAAUACCGCAUACGACCUACGGGUGAAAGCAGGGGAUCUUCGGACCUUGCGCGAUUGAAUGAGCCGAUGUCGGAUUAGCUAGUUGGCGGGGUAAAGGCCCACCAAGGCGACGAUCCGUAGCUGGUCUGAGAGGAUGAUCAGCCACACUGGAACUGAGACACGGUCCAGACUCCUACGGGAGGCAGCAGUGGGGAAUAUUGGACAAUGGGCGCAAGCCUGAUCCAGCCAUACCGCGUGGGUGAAGAAGGCCUUCGGGCUGUAAAGCCCCUUUGUUGGGAAAGAAAAGCAGCAGGUUAAUACCCCGCUGUUCUGACGGUACCCAAAGAAUAAGCACCGGCUAACUUCGUG